UACAGAGGUGGCAAGCGUUGUUCGGAAUUACUGGGCGUAAAGGGCGCGUAGGCGGCCUUCUAAGUCAGACGUGAAAUCCCCCGGCUUAACCUGGGAACUGCGUCUGAUACUGGAGGGCUUGAGUAUGGGAGAGGGAUGUAGAAUUCCAGGUGUAGCGGUGAAAUGCGUAGAUAUCUGGAGGAAUACCGGUGGCGAGGGCGGCAUCCUGGACCAUUACUGACGCUGAGGCGCGAAAGCUAGGGGAGCAAACGGG
rnacentral:rRNA from 1 species